rnacentral:rRNA from 1 species
AACGUAGGGGACAAGCGUUAUCCGGAUUUACUGGGCGUAAAGCGCCCGUAGGCGGCCUGACAAGUUGGACGUGAAAGCUCCUGGCUUAACUGGGAGAGGCCGUUCAAAACUGUCAAGCUAGAGUCUGGAAGAGGAGAGCGGAAUUCCCGGUGUAGCGGUGAAAUGCGCAGAUAUCAGGAGGAACACCGGUGGCGAAGGCGGGUCUCUGGGCCGAUACUGACGCUGGAGAAGCGAAAGCCAUGGGGAGCGAACAGG